rnacentral:rRNA from 1 species
AUUGAACGCUGGCGGCAGGCCUAACACAUGCAAGUCGAACGGUAACAGGAAACAGCUUGCUGUUUCGCUGACGAGUGGCGGACGGGUGAGUAAUGUCUGGGAAACUGCCUGAUGGAGGGGGACAACCAAUGGAAACGUUGGCUAAUACCGCAUAAUCUCUUAGGAGAAAAGUUGCCCGUAAGGGUAGCGCUUUUGGAGGGGCCUGCGUCCGAUUAGCUAGUUGGUGAGGUAAUAGCUCACCAAGGCGAUGAUCGGUAACUGGUCUGAGAGGACGACCAGUCACACUGGGACUGAGACACGGCCCAGACUCCUACGGGAGGCAGCAGUGGGGAAUCUUGGACAAUGGGGGCAACCCUGAUCCAGCGAUGCCGCGUGGGUGAAGAAGGCCUUCGGGUUGUAAAGCCCUUUAGGCUGGGACGAAGGGUAUGGGACGAAUAAUCCUGUACUUUGACGGUACCAGCAGAAUAAGCACCGGCAAACUCUGUGCCAGCCGCCGCCGUAA